UCACGUGACCUACGUUCGUCCCGACGACAUGACCGUUCGAGUUCGUCAAAUCAAACGAAGUGGUGAGGAAAGUGCUAUAACGGAUCAUCUGAUGACAUGUCUGCCGUGAUAUUUUAACACUCAUCUUCUUCAUCUGUGAUAUACUGUUGAUGUCAAGGUGUUAUCAGCACAAUAUGAUGUUCAGCAAGCACAAAAGAGAGGCGAAGGAGCACUACCGGAGGAGGAGGAGGAGGAGGAGGAGGGCACACCGCGGCAAGCACUGAAACACCUCCCAAUCCACCCUCCGUACAUCUGACCAACCAGCGCUGCUCCCUGUGAUGAUGACUGACAGGUGGACUCCGCCUACCCUUCCCUCAUCCGUCUCACCAUCCGCCGUCUCGCGCUGAGUGUUUGGAGUCCCUACAACAUCACCGAUAGAAGGCCUUAUGAUGCAGGUGCAAAAGUCCAGCCAGGUGUCUUCACCCAAUAAGUGGCUCAUAAGACAACACGAAAGCUAUUGGUGACUGCUUGUGGAAAGACAGCGAACUUCUGGCCUUGGCAGAAUCAGAAACAAAAUAGAAUAACAGAAUGAAAAAGUUGUCUACUUGUCUGGCAUAACAACAACGUCUACAAGUUUCCAGCUGAUUGUUAUGAAGAACUGAAUUCAACUGAGUGUAUUUAUGGUUUUUGGAAGAUGAAGGUCAAGCAAGACAGAAGAAGUCAAGAAGUGCUAACGACUGUGAAAAAAGUUGUCGACUCUGAAACAUAUUAGGACUGAUAAGAUCUCGGAUUCUGUCUUGUUUAAAAAUAUAUAAUUUCUGUGCCCAUCAUAUACGGAAUCCGGUUUUAAACUCACUUCACUAUAAGUCAAACUCAAAAAUAUUAAAAAUAUAUUUUAACAAA
rnacentral:lncRNA from 1 species